rnacentral:rRNA from 1 species
UACGUAGGGUGCAAGCGUUAAUCGGAAUUACUGGGCGUAAAGCGUGCGCAGGCGGUUAUGUAAGACAGUUGUGAAAUCCCCGGGCUCAACCUGGGAACUGCAUCUGUGACUGCAUAGCUAGAGUACGGUAGAGGGGAUGGAAUUCCGCGUGUAGCAGUGAAAUGCGUAGAUAUGCGGAGGAACACCGAUGGCGAAGGCAAUCCCCUGGACCUGUACUGACGCUCAUGCACGAAAGCGUGGGGAGCAACAGG